rnacentral:rRNA from 1 species
GGUAAACGCUGGCGGCGUGCCUAAAACAUGCAAGUCGAACGGGCAGUCUUCGGAUUGUCAGUGGCAGACGGCUGAGUAACGCGUGGGUGACGUACCUGAUGGUGGGGAAUAACUGCCCGAAAGGGUGGCUAAUUCCGCAUACGCCCGGUUCUUCGUUGGACUGGGGAAAGCUUCGUGAGAGGCGCCAAUGGAGCGGCCCGCGUUCGAUUAGCUGGUUGGUGGGGUAACGGCCUACCAAGGCGACGAUCGAUAGCUGGUCUUAGAGGAUGAUCAGCCA